CCUACGGGUGGCAGCAGUGGGGAAUAUUGCACAAUGGGGGCAAGCCUGAUGCAGCCAUGCCGCGUGUGUGAAGAAGGCCUUCGGGUUGUAAAGCACUUUCAGCGGGGAGGAAGGCGGUGAGGUUAAUAACCUCAUCGAUUGACGUUACCCGCAGAAGAAGCACCGGCUAACUCCGUGCCAGCAGCCGCGGUAAUACGGAGGGUGCAAGCGUUAAUCGGAAUUACUGGGCGUAAAGCGCACGCAGGCGGUCUGUCAAGUCGGAUGUGAAAUCCCCGGGCUCAACCUGGGAACUGCAUUCGAAACUGGCAGGCUAGAGUCUUGUAGAGGGGGGUAGAAUUCCAGGUGUAGCGGUGAAAUGCGUAGAGAUCUGGAGGAAUACCGGUGGCGAAGGCGGCCCCCUGGACAAAGACUGACGCUCAGGUGCGAAAGCGUGGGGAGCAAACAGGAUUAGAUACCCCGGUAGUC
rnacentral:rRNA from 1 species